rnacentral:lncRNA from 1 species
CCUAAAGUUGGGAGUUGGGGAGAGGUGUGGCUGUCGGUGAGACUAGGGCUGGAGUCUUGAUGCAGACACUUGGGAGGAAGCUCUUGCUUAGUCUCCAGCAAGUGGUUCUUGUCUAGUUUCCUGGCUGUGGGUUGUGACUAUCAUUUGCUAAAACUUUGGAGAAGAAGGAGUGCUCAAAUAUUGAGGUGUCCUGAUAAUAUAACUCCUGGUUUGCUCAGAGUUAACAAGAUCAACCUUGCUGGGAAAUGAACAAGCGACCAGGU